rnacentral:rRNA from 1 species
CCCUUAGAUGUUCUGGGCCGCACGCGCGCUACACUGAUCGGUGCAACAAGCAUCCGUCCUUGGCCGACAGGCCCGGGCAAUCUUUGAGCGCCGGUCGUGAUGGGGAUAGACCUUUGCAAUUUUUGGUCUUCAACGAGGAAUUCCUAGUAAACGCAAGUCAUCAACUUGCAUUGAUUACGUCCCUGCCCUUUGUACACACCGCCCGUCGCACCUACCGAUUGAAUGGUCCGGUGAAACCUCCGGAUUGGCGCGUGCCCUCGGGCGCCGCCGAGAAGUUGGUUAAACCUUACCAUUUAGAGGAAGGUGAAGUCGUAACA